rnacentral:rRNA from 1 species
UGGGGAAUAUUGCGCAAUGGGCGAAAGCCUGACGCAGCGACGCCGCGUGAGGGAUGAAGGUUUUCGGAUCGUAAACCUCUGUCAGAAGGGAAGAAACCGCACUGUGCUAAUCAGCAGUGCCUUGACGGUACCUUCAAAGGAAGCACCGGCUAACUCCGUGCCAGCAGCCGCGGUAAUACGGAGGGUGCAAGCGUUAAUCGGAAUUACUGGGCGUAAAGCGCACGUAGGCUGCUUUGUAAGUCAGGGGUGAAAUCCCACGGCUCAACCGUGGAACUGCCUUUGAUACUGCUUAGCUUGAAUCCGGGAGAGGGUGGCGGAAUUCCAGGUGUAGGAGUGAAAUCCGUAGAUAUCUGGAGGAACAUCAGUGGCGAAGGCGGCCACCUGGACCGGUAUUGACGCUGAGGUGCGAAGGCGUGGGGAGCAAACAGG